rnacentral:rRNA from 1 species
AUUGAACGCUGGCGGCAUGCCUUACACAUGCAAGUCGAACGGCAGCGGGGGAGAAGCUUGCUUUUCCUGCCGGCGAGUGGCGAACGGGUGAGUAAUACAUCGGAACGUGCCCUGUAGUGGGGGAUAACUAGUCGAAAGAUUAGCUAAUACCGCAUACGACCUGAGGGUGAAAGUGGGGGACCGCAAGGCCUCAUGCUCUAGGAGCGGCCGAAGUCUGAUUAGCUAGUUGGUGGGGUAAAGGCCUACCAAGGCGACGAUCAGUAGCUGGUCUGAGAGGACGAUCAGCCACACUGGGACUGAGACACGGCCCAGACUCCUACGGGAGGCAGCAGUGGGGAAUUUUGGACAAUGGGCGAAAGCCUGAUCCAGCAAUGCCGCGUGUGUGAAGAAGGCCUUCGGGUUGUAAAGCACUUUUGUCCGGAAAGAAAUGGCUCUGGUUAAUACCUGGGGUCGAUGACGGUACCGGAAGAAUAAGGACCGGCUAACUACGUGCCAGCAGCCGCCGUAACAC